rnacentral:lncRNA from 1 species
UGGGCUUACACUCAGGACCCUGAGAGCAAGACCUGAACUGAGAUCAAGAGUUGGGACGCUCAACUAGCUGAGCACCCAGGCACCUCCCUAUUGUUGCAACUUUUAUGUAAGUUUGGGAUUAUUUCAAAAUAAAUAAAAUGUUAAAAAAUAAAUUUGAAUAUUCUGUUCCUUCUAUUUCUACAUAGAAUAUUUGACUAGAAAUGGAAAACAAAGCACUCUUCCAUGGAAGGGAGAAGAAGGCACUUUAGCUUAAUGGGUAGUUCAAGUUACAUUUUACCAUCAAUAAGUAAAUUCAUCAUUUGUUUAUUAUCAUUAUUAUUAUUAAGUAGGCUCCAUAUCCAAGGUGAGGCUUGAACUCAAAAUCAAGCAUGGCAUGUUCUACCGAGCCAGUCAAGUACCCGUCAUCAUUGUUUAAAAAUAUUCCCUUGCUAAAACAUUUCAGCCCCAACUUGAAGCUCUUUAGAGGAAUCAUGACAAGAUUUCAAAACUAAGUUCCCAGGAGCUUGUUUUGGGUGGAUGUAGAGAGCUGGUAAGAUAAUUUAUUGUGUGGUGACUCUGACUUUUCAUAGCCCCUCAUAAUGAGACCUCACCCAUCUAUGCUAAUUUUACCAUCCUAAGGAACUGAUUAUUCAGUCAUUCAAAAAAUAUUUUGACUACCUUAUGAGUGUUUGUCAUUGGUUUACUAAACACUGAGGAUACAUUAGUACAUGAGAUCAUAUUUAUCUACAUGAAACUUAAUUAUACUGGAGGACAAAGUUAUGAAACAAACACAAAAGGAAGAUAAUUGCAGUUUGUGGCAAGUGCUGUUAGUAAUAAUGUAAUAAAGACAAACUUAACUCAUUGAAUGUCCAGAAUAUCCCAGGCUUUAUGCUAGAAGAGCUGCAAGAGUAAAUAAGAGAUCAGUCCUCUUCUAACAGACUUAUUGUGUGUGAGUGUGUGUGUACAUAUAUAUAUAUAUAUUUGUGCAUGCUGUCUCUCAAAAAAUAAAAAAUAAAAAAAAAGUUCUCAAUUCUAGAAUAAAUUUUAAACAUGCCAGAACUUGAGGAAGGUGUGUGUAGAAGUUCUUCUUAUAUACUUUACUGGAAGAGUUCUGUCCAGCCUUGACGUGAUUGGGGAGGAUUCAGCUAAAGUACUAGUGGAGAGUAUUAAGUAUAUUUAAAGUAUAUUUAAUAGUAUAAAACAGGCACUAGGCACUAGAGUGAGAAAGGAAUGUGUAAAUGUUAUAUAUGCUCUAAUCAAAUAAAAGUAAGGGAACUAACAAAUAUGAAGAUUAGAGGAAGGAGGAAAAAAUAAGUUCAUUGGUUGUCACAAGGCAAUUAGAUGGGAAUCAACUUUUUUUUUUAUUAAGAUUUCAUUUAUUCAUUUGAGAGAAAGAGCACAAGCAAGUAGAGAGGCAGAGGGAGCAGGAGAAGCAGAAUUCCCUGCUGAGGAGAGAGCCUGACACGAGGCUCAAUCCCAGGACCCCAAGAUCACUACCUGAGCCUAAGGCAGAUGCCUAACUGACCGAGCCACCCAGGUGCCUCGGGGAAUCAACAUUUAAAGGUGAUAAACUAGAAGCCUAGACAAGCAAAAAAAGGGGCUCUAAGAG